rnacentral:lncRNA from 1 species
GAACAGCUCACAGAAAGGUGACAACCAACAACACACUACAAAGUGUGUGGGAACCAUUAGCUGCAUGGAGGAAAGAUCAUUAAGGCUUACAAAAGAAAAGUGACUUUCCAGUUCUUCUGGCUUAUCUGUUUCAGACACUUCACUGGUUUCAGACAAAUCACAUCUAGUUACACCAAUGUGGAUCACACUUCUGAGCUGUUUGACCUAUGCCAAGAGGGAUGAGCUGGGUUUCCAAAUCCAAGUUAGCAAUGACAUUCAAGCACUUCUCUCACACACUUCCUGCAGGAAAAAAGUGUUUCUACACUCUGAACAAUCGGGUUUGCUUCUUACUUGCUCAGCAUUUUGCUGUACUGAAUGAACAGGAUGUCACUGCAAAAGUUUGGCACCUCUAGAGUGUUUUGAAAGACUUUAGAUGGACGAGCUUAAACUCACCUUUGUAUCCUUUGGUAUCUGCUUGUUCUUGUUUUUUGCCUUGAAGCACCAACAUUCAUACUUUGUUUACAGAUCUCAACAGGCUUUGCCUUGUCAAAUAUUUUGAAUUCCAUAAUGAGGUGUGUAAUGUCUCUUAUAUAAGCUCUCAUUUUUGCUCUCCUGGGAUGUCUUGCUUUUGUGCUUACAUGGGUUUGCCUGUGUUUACUCUACUCAUUUGACUUUUAACUGAGAAACUGAGGAAAUAACUUUUGGCUUAUGUUCUCCCACCAUGUUGUUGUCAUAUUCCUCUCCUUGAAAAAAAUCCCCAAAUCAAAUGAAACUCAAGCAAUCACCCCACUUCAGAUCAUCAGUUUGGUUUAGAACUAAUGUCAGUUCCAAGAAGCAAGUGGGCUGAGUUGAAGGUGGAUGAAUGUCUCCAGCAGGAAGUGGGUGUGCUCAUUUUUGCUGGAUGAGAACUUCUUUAAUACAGUGAAGGACUGGAUAUACAAUCUGAGCUACUUCUAUUUAUGGACUGACUCUCCGAUUCAUGUUUUAUGAGUUUCCUCCCAGGCAAAGCUGCUCUGUUUGGCUCAUUGGAGUCCUGUCAGGAGAACAAUCAAAAGGAUAUUAAUCUGAAGCUCAAAUACCACAUCAAUUAACAGGCAGGGGUUUUGUACUGUGGAGUUCAAAAUGUACUUGGCAGAAUAAAUGCAAAUAAACCUUUUAUCA